AAUGGGCGAAAGCCUGACGCAGCAACGCCGCGUGCGGGAUGAAGGCCUUCGGGUUGUAAACUGCUUUCAGCAGGGAAGAAGCGAAAGUGACGGUACCUGCAGAAGAAGCACCGGCUAACUACGUGCCAGCAGCCGCGGUAAUACGUAGGGUGCAAGCGUUGUCCGGAUUUAUUGGGCGUAAAGAGCUCGUAGGCGGUUAGUCGCGUCGGAUGUGAAAUCCCAGUGCCUAACACUGGGCCUGCAUUCGAUACGGGCUGACUAGAGUGUUGUAGGGGAGACUGGAACUCCUGGUGUAGCGGUGAAAUGCGCAGAUAUCAGGAAGAACACCGGUGGCGAAGGCGGGUCUCUGGGCAACUACUGACGCUGAGGAGCGAAAGCGUGGGGAGCAAACAGGAUU
rnacentral:rRNA from 1 species